rnacentral:misc_RNA from 1 species
AAAAAAAAAAAAAAUUGCCAUCGAUUUUAGCAAUUAUCAGUAAAACGGGAACCAUGAUAAUGAGCAAUUAUAACAGAGGUGCAUCAUGAAUUAUAACAGAUAUGCAGGAACAUACCUUCAAAACCAGUAUCAAUCCUCUAUUCUAAUACACCUAUUGUUAUGCUUUCAAUUAUUGUUUGCCCCACAUCAUAUUCCUCAAAGCAACAUAAACAUUGUGAAAAUAUACAAUAUUAAGCAUGAGAAGGCAACUAUUUGAAUGGAAGAUGUG